rnacentral:rRNA from 1 species
UAGGGAAUCUUCGGCAAUGGGGGCAACCCUGACCGAGCAACGCCGCGUGAGUGAAGAAGGUUUUCGGAUCGUAAAGCUCUGUUGUAAGAGAAGAACGAGUAUGAGAGUGGAAAGCUCAUACUGUGACGGUAUCUUACCAGAAAGGGACGGCUAACUACGUGCCAGCAGCCGCGGUAAUACGUAGGUCCCGAGCGUUAUCCGGAUUUAUUGGGCGUAAAGCGAGCGCAGGCGGUUAGAUAAGUCUGAAGUUAAAGGCUGUGGCUUAACCAUAGUAUGCUUUGGAAACUGUUUAACUUGAGUGCAGAAGGGGAGAGUGGAAUUCCAUGUGUAGCGGUGGAAUGCGUAGAUAUAUGGAGGAACACCGGUGGCGAAAGCGGCUCUCUGGUCUGUAACUGACGCUGAGGCUCGAAAGCGUGGGUAGCGAACAGG